rnacentral:rRNA from 1 species
UACGUAGGGGGCGAGCGUUGUCCGGAUUUAUUGGGCGUAAAGAGCUCGUAGGCGGUUUUGUAAGACCGAUGUGAAAUCCCCGGGCUUAACCUGGGAACUGCAUUGGUGACUGCAAGGCUUGAGUGUGUCAGAGGGAGGUGGAAUUCCGCGUGUAGCAGUGAAAUGCGUAGAUAUGCGGAGGAACACCGAUGGCGAAGGCAGCCUCCUGGGAUAACACUGACGCUCAUGCACGAAAGCGUGGGGAGCAAACAGG